GUUAGGGUUGGAGUUGAAAUGGCAUUGAUUGAUGCAGUUGCUAAUAGUAUUGGUGUGCCCCUGUGGAGAUUAUUUGGUGGUGUAUCAAAUACCUUAACCACUGCUAUCACACUUUCAAAUGUUUUCCCCGCAGAAGCUUCUGAAUUGGCUUCAAAGUGCUUCAAAGUACUGCCAACUAGGAUUCAAGACCUUGAAGCUUAAAAUAGGGAAGAACAUUAAAGCAGAAAUCGAAAUUCUCCAAUCCAUACAGGCAGCUCACCCCAAUUGUUCAUUGAUUUUAGAUGCAAAUGAGGAAUACACUUACAGAGAAGCUGUAGAAGUUCUUCAAAAGUUACAUGAUUCAGGGAUAACACCUACUCUCUUGGAACAACCGGUUCAUAGAGAUGACUGGAAAGGUCUUGGAGAAUUUUGUAACUUUGCAAGAGGGAAGUAUGGGAUAUCCGUUGCUGUAGAUGAGAGUUGUCAGAGCUUAAUUGAUGUUCAAACAGUUAUUAAGGGCAAUUUUGCAGAUGUCAUUAACAUCAAACUAGCAAAAUUUGGAGUCAUGGGAACCCUAGAAAUCAUUGAAUUGGCAAGAAAUUCGGGCCUAAAUCUGAUGAUUAGUAGUACAGUAGAGACCAGACUUGCCACAGGAUUUGCUGCUCAUCUGGCUGCCGGGCUUGGCUUUUUCAAAUUUGUUGGUCUAGAUAUGCCAUUUCUGCUUUCAGAGGAUCCUGUGAUUUGUGGUUAUGAAGCUUGUGGUCCUGUUUACAAGUUCUUAAAUGCAAGAGGUCAAGGAGGUUUCCUCAAAUGGGACUUUACACCAUGAUGAUUUCAAAGGUAUAGUUGAUUACCACUCAGCGGUUCAUAAAUAAUGAAGAUCACAAUAACUGCCUCAAUAACUUUAAGGAUGGGGCCUAGAGAGCAGAUAGUGAUUGAAAUGCGAAGCAUAGCAAGUUGCACUCCUGACAAUGUCUUCUUAUUAUGAUGUGCUACUGGUUUUACUUAGCAUUAUGAAAUUUCUGUGUAUGACCUUUCUUUCUCCUUUCUACUUUCUUCUUCUUUGAACUUAUGUGGUGUUUUAUGGUUCAUCUUGC
rnacentral:misc_RNA from 1 species